rnacentral:misc_RNA from 1 species
GCAAGACCCUUGACCGUUGGAUUAUGAAGUGAAAGGACAGAAAUUCUAAAUGGAAUCCCAUCCAUCAAUUUUGAUUCUUUUUAAUUCUAGAAUGUCGAAUUGUGUCUUAUUGAAUCUAGGCCUUCCGUCUCCUCCUCCAGAAAUCCUAACCCUCUAUUCUGAGCGUCCAUUCCCUAUAAAUACCUGUAUGCGAUACUGUAGGAGGGGGUGGUGAUUAUCGUGGAUGAAAACUCUGAAUUU